GAGUUUGAUCGUGGCUCAGAGCGAACGCUGGCGGCAGGCCUAACACAUGCAAGUCGAACGAACUCUUCGGAGUUAGUGGCGGACGGGUGAGUAACACGUGGGAACGUGCCUUUUGGUUCGGAAUAACUCAGGGAAACUUGUGCUAAUACCGAAUGUGCCCUUCGGGGAAAGAUUUAUCGCCAUUAGAGCGGCCCGCGUCUGAUUAGCUAGUUGGUGAGGUAAAGGCUCACCAAGGCGACGAUCAGUAGCUGGUCUGAGAGGAUGAUCAGCCACAUUGGGACUGAGACACGGCCCAAACUCCUACGGGAGGCAGCAGUGGGGAAUCUUGCGCAAUGGGCGAAAGCCUGACGCAGCCAUGCCGCGUGAAUGAUGAAGGUCUUAGGAUUGUAAAAUUCUUUCACCGGGGACGAUAAUGACGGUACCCGGAGAAGAAGCCCGGCUAACUUCGUGCCAGCAGCCG
rnacentral:rRNA from 1 species